rnacentral:rRNA from 1 species
UACGUAGGGUGCAAGCGUUGUCCGGAUUUAUUGGGCGUAAAGAGCUCGUAGGCGGUUUGGCAAGUCGGGUGUGAAACCUCCAGGCUCAACCUGGAGACGCCACUCGAUACUGCUAUGACUUGAGUCUGGUAGGGGAUCACGGAAUUCCUGGUGUAGCGGUGAAAUGCAUAGAUAUCAGGAGGAACACCGGUAGCGAAGGCGGUGAUCUGGGCCAGUACUGACGCUGAGGAGCGAAAGCGUGGGGAGCGAACAGG